CCUGGACAGACCGGGCCAGCACUAGUGU
rnacentral:sRNA from 1 species